CCAAAGAUUAGCUAAGAACCUCAGAGUUCCCCAGGCUCUGGAGGAGCACAGGGCUCGGCGCCCCGGGAUGUACAGUCCUUUUCCACAACGUCGGAGAUCAAGCCGGGCCUGGAGCCUGCGCCUGCAUGUUCCUACAGCU
rnacentral:snoRNA from 1 species